rnacentral:lncRNA from 10 species
UUUGGAAGAAAAGCAAAAUAAAGAAAAAAAAAAGGCAGACUGGAGCCAGAAUGCCUGAGUUUGAAUCCACUUCAUGGCUGCAUGAAUUUUUUUUUUUUUUUUGAGACAGAGUCUCGCUCUGUUGCCCAGGCUGGAGUGCAGUGGCACAAUCAUAGCCCACUGCAACCUCAACCUCCUGGGCCCAAGCAGUCCGCCCAUCUCAGCAUCCCAAAGUGCUGGGAUUACAAGUAUGAGCCACCGCACCCGGCCAGCAAAUACUAAAUAAAUGUUAGCUGUUUAUUAUUUUUUUCUAAUACUUAUGCCCAUACAAUCAGCUUAUAACCUCCAUAGACCCUCACAGACUAUUCAGCAGAUUAGGAAGGAGGCCCCCUCCCCGUGGAGUAGGCCAGUUAUGAUUUCUCUCUCCUCUUUCCAGGUAUCCCCAUUUGACAGAUGGGACAACUGAGGCCCAGAGAGGUUGCUCAACUUGCUCAGGAUUGCCAAGUUUUAGCAAUUCAAGGUCUAUGCCUGCCCCAAACAAGAAGGGUCUUGCUCCAUUCCCAAGCCUAAAGUGCAGUGGCACGAUCUGCAGGAUCACUGCAGCCUCAACCUCACAGACUCAAGCUAUCCUCCUGCCUUAGUGCCUGGCCUGCGGUAAGGAUUAAACGAGCUAAUUGCACAGAAGGAGCCUGGCUCCUAGUACACUUGCUAAGUGUUCAAAAUUAUUAUUAUGUCUUAGGAUCAUCCAAACUCAAGCCACAUCGAGAGGCAGGUGUGUGUGCGGGGGAAGGGCAGGGAAAGAACAUCACCCACCGACCAUGCUGUGCUCCUCCGUGAUGCCCUGAAGUCCUCCUG